UAGUCAUAUGCUUGUGUCAAAGAUUAAGCCAUGCAUGUCUAAGUUUAAGCAAGUCUUAUAGUGAAACUGCGGAUGGCUCAUUAUAUCAGUUAUAAUUUAUUUGACUGUACCCGCUUACCAUUUGGAUACCCGUGGUAAUUCUAGAGCUAAUACAUGCGCGAAAGGCCCGACUUUUUGGAAGGGCUGCAUUUAUUAGAUAUAAAGCCGACUUGGUCCUUACGGAUCAAUAUUGGUGAUUCAUAAUAACUUUGCGAAUCGUGGGCCGUAUGGCUACGAUGGGUCAUUCAAAUUUCUGCCCUAUCAGCUGUCGAUGGUACGGUAGUGGCCUACCAUGGCGAUCACGGGUAACGGGGAAUCAGGGUUUGAUUCCGGAGAGGGAGCCUGAGAAACGGCUACCACUUCUAAGGAAGGCAGCAGGCGCGCAAAUUACCCAAUGCUAAUUCAGCGAGGUAGUGACAAUAAAUAACAAUCCAGGGCCCUUGUGGUCUUGGAAUUGCAAUGAGUACAAUGUAAACAACUUAACGAGUAGCGAUUGGAGGGCAAGUCUGGUGCCAGCAGCCGCGGUAAUUCCAGCUCCAAUAGUGUAUAUUAAAGUUGCUGCAGUUAAAAAGCUCGUAGUCGGAGUGUGGGAGUUCUGGGGCGUGGGCCGGCUGGCAGGGUCUGCGAAAGCGGGCUCUUUGUCGCUGUGUCUGUAUUCGCUCUGCUCCCAGUGAUUCUGGGCGGGUAGUCGGGCCUUUUUGGGUUCGGCUGCAUCAGGCCAGACUUUUACCUUGAGAAAAUUAGAGUGUUCAAAGCAGGCAAAAGCUUGAAUAUGUUAGCAUGGAAUAAUGGAAUAGGACCGUCGGUCUUGUUUUGUUGGCUUUACGGGGCCGGGGUAAUGAUUAAUAGGAACAGUUGGGGGCAUUUGAAUUGGGCGGUUAGAGGUGAAAUUCUUGGAUCCUCCCAAGUCAGACUAGUGCGAAAGCAUUUGCCCAGCAUGUGUCCAUUGAUCAAGAACGAAAGUUAGGGGAUCGAAGACGAUUAGAUACCGUCGUAGUCUUAACCAUAAACGAUGCCGACUGGGGAUGGGGCGUGGCAUUAUGCCGGCUCUGGACUCAAUGAGAAAUCAAAGUGUUUGGGUUCCGGGGGGAGUAUGGUCGCAAGGCUGAAACUUAAAGGAAUUGACGGAAGGGCACCACCAGAAGUUAACGUACUAUUUGAUGCUGCAGAUAGCUCUGCUUCGAAAAGCAGCCCGAAAGGGUGAGGUGGUAGUGUAAUAGCCCGUCCUUGUGACAAGAUUUUGUUGUGAGGGCAAAUUUAAAUGCUAGUCCGCAGAUUUAUUAAAGAUUUUUUUGGUAUGUCUGUCGGGCAACAUGCUCAAAUUGCGGGGAACUUCUAAAGCACCGGGUACCAAGCUGCGCAUGGAAACAUGGGCGGUGGCCAGGCUAAUUGCCUAGGGUAUGGUCAUAACAUCGGUGAUGCAACAAUGGACGAUCCGCAGCCAAGCGCCUAAAGCAAGAAAAAAAAGCAUAUAUAUAUAUUUAUAGUAUGCUUUUAUUUUUAAGCCAUGGCGAAGGUUCAGAGACUAGAUGGGUGUGGGUAGAAAAAAUACGUUUGUUUAUUGAUAGUGUCAUUAAAAAUAAUUUCUAUUUUUUAGCCUUCACACUGUUAGCCUGCUUAGAUAUAUGCUUGAUUGGUAAAAUGCAUGAGGGCCUGAUCCCGUUUUUCCCAUGCGGACAAGGGUUUAUCGUCACACCAUUAUUGGUGAUAAAGAUAUUAUUCCCCUUGCAAUUAUUCCGCUUGGCAUUAAGUCGUUGGCUUUCAACGACUAAGUGUUCUGGGUUAAAGCACCAUCCGCGAUGACAGAGGUGAGACACUUGCAAUCUUUUUUUGCCUGCGUUAAGUCUUGUUAGUUCAUGGGCUUUGUUUGCAGCCACAAGCGAUAAAUGGUGUAGGUAUAUGCAUCUGCCAAUUUUCUUGUCUGAAGCGUCUAAUAGUGUGUGUCUAAGGUUGAUUUGACAGUAUCCGUUACGAUGCGUUGGUUUCGUAGUGGGCUUCCAACAGUUGCGUCCCUUGGUUAUUUUUGCUAUAUGGCCAUGUACUAUCUGUUGAGCCUGAUUGGCUGUAAUUUGUUUGCUCCAAUUCCAAUAACUGCGAUUCAUUUUUAAGCAUAGUCGGAUAAGGGUGUUAAAGUAAUAGAAAUUGAUGACAAAGAAUAAACCGUGUUUUUCUGCUUAAGAUAUAGUCCAACCCACAUGCUGAAAAGCAGUGGAGGCACUUAUUAUUUAUUAUAUAAUUGGGAGCCUGCGGCUUAAUUUGACUCAACACGGGGAAACUCACCAGGUCCAGACAUAGUGAGGAUUGACAGAUUGAUAGCUCUUUCUUGAUUCUUUGGGUGGUGGUGCAUGGCCGUUCUUAGUUCGUGGAUUCAUUUGUCUGGUUAAUUCCGAUAACGGACGAGACCUUUGUUUGGUGGCUAGACAGCGGUAAUUUCAUUACUUGCUGCCUUCCCACAAAGACUGCCGGUGUCAAGCCGGCGGAAGUUGGAGGCAAUAACAGGUCUGUGAUGCCCUUAGAUGUUCUGGGCCGCACGCGCGCUACACUGGCAGAGGCAGCGAGUUAUUUCAUCCUGGUCUGAGAAGUCCGGGUAAUCUUGCAAACUCUGCCGUGCUGGGGAUAGUCCUUUGCAAUUUUCGGACUUGAACGAGGAACUUCUAGUAAUCGCAAGUCAUCAGCUUGCGAUGAUUACGUCCCUGCCCUUUGUACACACCGCCCGUCGCUACUACCGAUUGAAUGGCUUAGUGAGUCCUCUGGAUUUGCGGGGCACGCCCUCACCGGCUGCACUGCGGAAAAGUUGGGCAAACUUGGUCAUUUAGAGGAAGUAAAAGUCGUAACAAGGUCAUCGUAGGUGAACCU
rnacentral:rRNA from 1 species